GGCAGCAGGGUGGAUAAAUAGCUCGAGACAAAUAAAAAAUACUCACUGUCAGGAAUCUGGAUGGAUCUGUGGAGAAUGAAGCCAAAGGACACCUGGACUAUCAGUUUUCUAACAGCUAGAUACGAACUCAAGCUUAUGCUCGACUGAGGACAUGAACAGCCACACAAAGCAGAGACAUCAGAUCCAACUGAACCAUCUGUCCAAAGCUGUGCAGACACACACAUCAGAAGAAACAGUCUCACCCUGACGAUGCACACAUUCCAGCGAGCCUCAAAGACAGUGGGAAUCUUGAUCCCAGUACUUCUGGUUUCUGGUAUUAUUCUUUGCUUCUGUUGCUUGUGGUCUGACCCUGUGUGAGAGCACUGUUGGAUUGGACAUGAGAGUUCAGUGAACUUCAGUGGCCUCCCCAGUCUUCAGACUUGGAUCCAGUAGAACACCUUGGGGAUGUGGUAGAACAGAAGACUAGCAGCUUGAAUGAACAGCUGACAAAACCAAAGUGCUCGGUGAUGAAGAGCAGGAGACCGGCUAAUCAAUCAUCACAAGUCCUUUCCCAGAUUGUGGAUCUCAUCUAGGACAAAGUCCAAGUCCUCCCUGCUGACCUGAGGACUGAUGAC